UGCUUAACACAUGCAAGUCGAACGAUGAAGCCCAGCUUGCUGGGUGGAAGAGUGGCGAACGGGUGAGUAACACGUGAGUAACCUGCCCAUCACUCUGGGAUAAGCGCUGGAAACGGCGUCUAAUACUGGAUAUGAACAGCGGCCGCAUGGUCAGUUGUUGGAAAGAUUUAUUGGUGAUGGAUGGACUCGCGGCCUAUCAGCUAGUUGGUGAGGUAAUGGCUCACCAAGGCGACGACGGGUAGCCGGCCUGAGAGGGUGACCGGCCACACUGGGACUGAGACACGGCCCAGACUCCUACGGGAGGCAGCAGUGGGGAAUAUUGCACAAUGGGCGCAAGCCUGAUGCAGCAACGCCGCGUGAGGGAUGACGGCCUUCGGGUUGUAAACCUCUUUUAGUAGGGAAGAAGCGCAAGUGACGGUACCUGCAGAAAAAGCACC
rnacentral:rRNA from 1 species